CAGUGGCAAAGAAUGCAGGAAUUACAUGGCAGACCAAAACAGAGCCAGAGUGGUGAAUCAGGGCUAAGCUCCGCCACAGAAUUCAAGGAGCUUUCUGUGUACUUGGCUUAGAACACAAUACUACACCCUAAAGGUAGGGAAGGUUGUGUUUUACAUACAGUAUGCUUAAAGGCAAUAUUUACGGUCGUGGCGCCUCUGGGUGCAAGUGUACACACAGAGAUUUCUCUGGCACCCACAGGGUUCCCUCCCUCUGUAGAAAGAAGCAUCUGUUGUGGCCAAUAAAAGAGGUUGUGGUGGGGAUUUGGUUGUGAUGUGUCUAUGGUGCCUACAAAAGCUUUUCCAGUUUGCAAAUGUGCCCACAGCACCCCAGCCUUAAGGAGUCAGCAUUCAAUCCUCUGGUUUUAACCUCAAGGGCCCACUGUGGUUUGAUGAGUUGGCCUGCCUACUAGUAGGAGCAACAUGACAGGCAACUUAAUCAUGCCCUGAGAAUACAGAAUACAGAUGCACAAUUAAAGCAGGGAUCUGUGUGUCUUUCUGCCCUUGUUCUUUAAAUGACACACAUACCUGCCUCCACAGCAAAUGCUGAUUUUCUCCUCCAUUUUGCUCUCCUCCACUCUGAUGUUUCAGAUGGGCCGCUUGCAUUAUUUGUGUGUUUAUUUAAAGCACUGUUUGUAGGGCAAGUAUUAUUUUUGUAAAAUGAAUUCUAAGCAGAAAAACUUCUCUGGAGGGAAUAAACUCAUGGUGCCACUCAUGGUUAGCCAGUCUACACUCUUUACCACAGUGCUGCCUUUCUCAAGCUGCCAGGAAUUGUUCCCACUGAGUUUACAGAAAGAUGACACAAGUUGGUGACACAAGUUGGUGAGUAGCCUUCUCAGAGCAGUGUGGCUUCUGGUUUUGGGGUGUGUGAGAAAGUGAAAAAAAGAUUUGUUUCCAUCUUAAGCUACCUUGGGUUCCACUCUACCACCACCUAAACUGUUUAUUUCUUUUUUUAAAAUUUAAAGGAAUGGGGGGGGGCAACAAGAGGCAACAGCAAAAGGAGAGGGAAAGAAAGGCAAGGGUAAGAGAAGAUGAAAGGACUGGGAGACUGUGCCCUUGCCAAAAUAAAGUCAGAGGCCCAUUAUCCAGAUUCUGCAUUUUUAUUUUUUGUAGCUAAUUUUCAGCCUAAACAUUGCCUGCAAUGUAGAACAAAGAGAUGUUCUGGCACGAAGUAAUCUCAUCGGAUAUCUCUCUUUGCUCUUUUUUAAAAAAAUUGCAAUUUCUGGAAGGGAAAUCCUUCCUACGAGGAAGCCUAGAUUUCUGCCAGUCAAGGGGAAAACUAUUCCCUUUGGAACACUAUGAGUAGGCUUGGAAGACAGCAUUUGGCUGAAGCAAAAUGUGAUUUUGGACAGGAGCCUCUAUCUCUACCAUUUAGCAGUUACACUUUCCAGAGCAUGUGUACAAAUGCUCUUUGCAUUUUCUUGGUGUCUCGUAGCAGAGUAAAUUGACAUCUGUAAUAACCGUGUCAUGCGUGUGUCUUAAGACAGUGUAGCUAUCAUUUUAUCUUUUUAUGACUCGGGAGCAUUGGCCAGUUCUGUAAUUGUAUUUCAAGACCUGUUUUAAAAUAUUGUGUUUCCUUAACCUGAGACUACUUACCCAAAAUAUCUGCAACUGAUGAAUAGAUUACUGUGUCUACCUCCUAAGGAAUACUCCUAGAAGAGCUGAAGGCUUGUUACCAAAAGCAGAGCAUUGCCAAGGCUGUUGAGAAUGAUAUGGAAAGACAAGUGAAUCAUGCUGUGCAUUGGACUGAAGGCCAAGAUUGCAACCUAUACUGAAAUUCAGUAACUUGAACUACUCCUCCAUGUGGCAGCCAAUAUUCUCUGUGGGAUCCUGGCAGCACAGCGCCAUCCCAAUAGAUACACGGCAAACCCUUUUCUCCUCCAGCUUUCGGGGAGGGAUCCUUCUGGAUUCUAAAUGCCAUGGCAUCCAUCCAUCACACAUGGUGGAGAUAAAUAAUAGCACUUUUCUUUUUCUGCUGAGAUAUUUAUUUUUAUAAGGAUUAUCCAAAAAGGCAUCCAUUGUUUUCAGUUACACUGCUCUAAAACAUUCCUUCAAGUUAAAGUGUGGAGACGCUGCACAGCAGGUGGGAGAGAAAGCAGUAGAGCAAUUUGGGAUCAGGUGAAGUAAGGAUAACCAUAAACAAAUUCCCUGCUAGCAAUAGUAGCACCAGAUUGAAGUGGGUUAAUAUACUGAGACUGUGAUCCUAUACCUGCUUAUCCAGAAGUAAACCCCAUUGAACCUCUAUACAGGAUUAUGCUCUAAAUGUAGGUAUAUUUUUAAUGCAAAUGUUGAAUUUCAGCAAAGAGGCAAAAAAGUUUAGGUUGGGUAUCCUGAUUCAAGUCUAUCUUCAUGUGGAAUCAGUCUUGUGCAUGAAAAAGAGUGUUAUGUAGAGAGAGAGAAAACCAUUCAUCACUUGAGGCUGUGCUUCUGAUGCCCCUUGCAAGAUCAUGGUCAUCUGCACACCAUCAAACAUGACCAGAGCUCUUGGCUCUGACCAUACCACCACUCCUGUUUCAGGAUUGUGUGUAGAGACCCCUUCCCACUUUCCUCCUCAAGGGAUGAUGAUGAGUCCUCUCAGAGCUAGCAAUAAUUCUGCUGAGAACUUCAUAAGGACAGAACUAUGUUGCAUAGACUAAUCCAUGAACUGAGCCACCAUGUCCCAUGGAACUCACUAAAGGUUGUGUCUAGAACAGAUAGAAAUAGGUGUUAGAAAACUGGUUCCCAACUUUGUACUGGUGGAAUAAAAGGUACCACCUCUAGAAUCCAAGAUGGAUUAGCCCAAGCACCAUAUUCUCAACACUCAUUGUGGGACCUUUAGUCCCAGAAUUCUUCCAGCCCAUAUUAGGAAACUGCUGGUUCAGAAUCAUUUUUACAAUUAUUCAUACAAUAAUGGGACUGUUAUUGUUCAGAAAGCAGUGAAAGCCAUUCAUGGUGGUGUUUUGGGGUUUUUUAAAAUGAACUUCCAGGUUUGCUGAACAGAGGGUGGAACUUCUCAGUUCUUCUGGAUGUGGGGUUUCCCCAAUGCAUUGAUUGUAUUAAUGUAACUAGAAAGAGAUUGUAAAAGAGCAUUUCCUAUUUCAUUCAUCAUGCAAUCCCACGCCAUACUAAAAGCACUUCAGAGCUCAACCACUAAAUACUAAUGUUUCCCAAACAUUAGUCAAAUAUUUUUAUUAGUCCAAUCUUAGCAAAGACUGUGCAAUUGGGGGGAGGAAUCAACACACCCAGAAUAUUUUCUGCUCCAAAUAUGCCGAUCAAAAAUAGUUUUUUGGCCAAUUUGUUUCCUUCCCCCCCGCCCUAAGUUAUUAUGAACCCAGUCACUGGGCUGCCUUUCAUUAUAGCUUAUGUGGAAAUUUAUAAUGAAUAUUUCCUUUUUCCUUUUCUUGAUUCAUCUUAAUUGAUAAUUGGACCAUAAUUCCUGGACAUCUUCCAUGAGAGCAACCAUUGAUGACUUUUCAGUCUCCCUCCCUCCCACUCUCUCCCUCUCCCUCUCUCUCUGUUCACUUUGCACAUUGCACCAUAUGUAACGUAAAACAAACUAAGUUGGAAGCCUGGCUUCUUAUUCUGAAUCCUGGCAUGCAGGAGAGUCACUGAGAGAUAUCAUAUGGUCUCCUGGCAAAAGUACAAAGUGGCUCUAGCUGUUUGAUCUACUGUCUUAAAUUUAAAUGCAAAAUCUGAUAAUUGGGUCAGGCAGGAGAAGAAACUGACUAAUAAAGCUCUUUUCAUUUCCUUUUCCUAUAUGUCCUUGUUUCAUCUUUUCUUUUCUUUUUUUCCUGCUUGGAUGAUCUUGAUGAGCAACAGUAAGUUCAUAGUGAAAAGUUCAAAGGUGGACCCUGCCUUCUAAGUAUUGUCUACUUCUAGAAUUCCUGCUGAGAUUAUUUUUUAAAAUAAGAACCCUUUCCAUGACUCCACUGCUAUGAUGCUAAUGUUGCACUGUUAGUCUCUGUGUUUGUGAGCCGAGUGGAUUGAGCCAAACAGGCAUCCUUAGACCUGGAGAAACUUGGAUUUCGAUACCACUUGAGCCAUGAACUUUCUGACUGGUCUCAGACAGAUUGCCCUCAAGGCGCGCGCACACACACACACAAAUCUGAACACAGGUCACUCAAAUUCUACACCAAAAAUAGCUAUCUUCUGUGACCUGUGCCAAUUAUGGAAAUGUGCAUUCAUUUGCAUAAUUCAUUCAGUCUUACGUUCAACACGAGAGGGACUGGGAACCAUGUAUGGCACAGAAAUGCAGCCCUCUCUGGGAACUAGUGUUGUAGAGGUUAUAGUGUUGGAGUAGGGUUGGUGAGAUCUGGAUCCAAAUAUUCGCUCAACUGAGAAGUUCACUGGUUGAUUUGGGACCAGCCACCACCUCUCAGUCUUACAUAGCUAACAGGAGUGUUUUGAAAGGGAAUGGAGUAUGCUGUCUUUUGAGCUCCUUAGAGGGGAGGCAGAAUAUAAAUGUAAUAAAUAAAUUAUAUAGCUUCACAAGGCAUUACCAGUGAGAUUUCUUUGUUCCUAUAAGGACUGUAAAAUUUCUAUUUAAAAAGAAAACAUGAAUGAUUAGUUUCUAAAGAUGACGAAUCAAAACUCCUAUGCUUGUGCAGUUCUGUUGCAGAACAGCACAGUGAAAAUCGCCCCAGUCACUCUCUUCUAGCUUCAGUUCCUUGUUUAUAAAAUCCACAGUGGCCUGCCUUGGAUGUGUAGACGAAUGAAAUUAGUAAUGUAAUUUGAAUUACAUACAUAAAGUGCAAUAGAAAUGUUUGAUGAUGAUUGUGAGGUAUGUAGUCAGGUGUCACAAAAUUAAAUCCACUAAUGUACUAAGGGCAUUUUGGAAGUGAAUGCUUAUUGUAGGCUUGUCUUGGAUACCAGGAAUAUUUUCAACUUACAAUCUCUACUGUAGACCAUUAAACAAAGACAGGGGAUUGUACUUCAAAGGGCACAUGAGAUAAAUGAAAACUGAACUUCCUUUUCGGCAAGAAUCAGAUCCUGAAGAAACAGACCCUGCGUCUCCAUUCUAGUGGGCGAGUCACUUUUAGUAACAGCCCAGUUGUUUUUCUGUGCUAGCAAAAACAACUGCUAGACUGCGGGAACAUUUUCAUGGUCAUGACUUAAAUGAGAUAAUUCACAAAUGGCCCACGUUAUUGGCUCCUUUUCUUCCCCAUGCGUGCUUCCAAAUUUUAGCCAAAAUAUAAUACUCUAAUCUUCAAAGGAAGAAUGAACUAGCUUUGAAAAAGGAAGUGAGUCUCCAAAGUGAUUGACGAUUCCAUGCACUCCAUCUCUCAUUUAUUUAGUCUAAAAAGGCUCUUUAAAAUCUUGGCUGUCGUACUGGUGUAUAUCAUGCUGGGUGGCCGCUAGAAGAGACACAUCAGCUCUGCUGUGAUUGCAUUAGAAAAGCUUCUAUAUAGCACAGAAAAGGUCACCAAAGCAGCUGAUCGUUGGGAAGAAGUAACUAAAUGAUAGGGAUUUAAUUGAUCAUUAGGGUGCCUGCUAUGGCAUGCUCAACACUCAGAAAGCUCAGCAGGAUUCCUGAACUGUAAGAGCAAUCUAUUUUAUUGCAUUAUAAUUACCUUACUAAUGGCUGAUGUUCAACUAAUUGCACCCUUGCAUUUUUCUGCUGUGCAUUUCACCCCCAGGAGCCUUAGGGGCCAGAAGAAUCAACGAUUAAAGUAUAUUUUCAUCAGCAUAAACAUAAACAAUGUGAAACAUGACCAGAGAGGCUGCCCUCUAAACAAUUCUUUAUCACCCCCACUGGUUACAGUUUCAAGCUUGCCUAGAAACCAUGCAAGGUAAAUCCCCGAAGUUGUCUAUACUCACUUGUGGUGAGGGAUGUGCCCUCUGUACAUGCCCAGGUGCACUCUUCUCUUGAAUGUUAUUUCAUUUAAGAUGGCUGAGCUUUUAGUCAUCCCAAGGAAGAGUUGCGGGUGAUUUCUGAACUCUGCUGCCAGGAUAUUCAUAGAAACAUUUCUCAUUGUACUUUCUGCAUGCAUCCCUAAGAACUAAAGAAAGCGCAUAAACCAGACAGGACAAGUGCAACCUCAGAGGGAGAAAGACACAACGCAAGCCUGAAAUGAGCAGAUGUGACCUGGAAAUUGAAAGGCUUCCUGACUUCUAUUUGCAGGAGUAGCGAUGGGUUAGUUUAAAAAACAGGCGCAACAAACCUGGUACCUGUCAGAAUGUUAGACUUGGUGGAAUUUACUUCUGAGUAAAUAUCCUUAGAGGGACGCGGGUGGAGCUGUGGUCUAAACCACAGAGCCUAGGGCUUGCCAAUCAGAAGGUUCGAAUCCCUGCGACGGCGUAAGCUCCCGUUGUUCAGUCCCUGCUCCUGCAAACCUAGCAGUCUGAAAGCAUGUCAAAGUGCAAGUAGAUAAAUAGGCACCGCUCUGGCAGGAAGCUAAAUGGCGUUUCCGUGCACUGCUCUGGUUCGCCAGAAGCGGUUUAGUCAUGCUAGCCACAUGACCCAGAAAGCUGUCUGUGGACAAAAUGCUGCCUCCCUCGGCCAGUAAAGCGAGAUGAGCGCCGCAACCCCAGAGUCGUCCGUGACUGGACUUAACAGUCAGGAGUUCCUUUACCUUUUAAAUAUCCUUAGAGUUGUGCUGCAAUUGCUACAAAUACACAACUAUGGAUUUAAUUCCAGAAUCCCUCAAAUGAGAUAGUUGCACAGUGUGUGGCUGUCUUUUGUGGUAUUUUGGAAUGGGUAUGAAGCGACGUAAACCGGUUCCAAAUGCAAAAUAAAUACAAAAUAAAAAUGAGUAAAUUGAGUUAGAGAUGGAAGGAAACCUUUCUCAGGCUGUGCAAGGCUAUAUUUUUCUUGGAAAAUACAUUGCUGAGGAAGACUCCUGUCUGAAACCCAGCUGUCAGCUAGUGUAGACAAUGAGCUCAAUGGACCAUUGGUCUGCCUCUGGUUUGUGGUGGUCAUGGCAAAUCUCUGAACAUAUGUUAUUAGACCGUUUCACCAACCACUUCACUCUCACCUUCUACAUUCUGCGGCCAUCUUCUGCAGCCAUCUUUAGUUUGGACUGUGUGCAGUGAAUUUCUCUCGUAACUAAAAUUCAUCCUGCAUCCAACACAGUGUUUGUAACAAGCCUGAAAGUAAUGCAAAAAGUGUGUCGUGGGUCUGGUUGCAAUGUGCAUGAUAUUUUCGAUUGCUACUCAAUGGAGCAAAGUGACUGCCAUGCCGUGUUAUAGGGGCCUUAGUUGCCUAGUGGGAAAGUGAAACCAAAGCUCAGCCUCACGAAUACCAUGGCACCAUAAACUGGAAAGUGACUCUUCCCAAGUGUCAGACCACCAUUGAUUUUCUGCAUCAGCAUUUUUGUUUCAUGUUCUGUGAAAUGAAAGGUUUUGGGUCAUUUGUUAAAAGAGAGAUGUUAAGACCUGAACUUCUCUUAAUGACCAGAGGCAAACAAUAAACGUUGGCAAUGGCUGGAUCAUGGACGAUUUGGUUAUGUGAAAGCUAGCGAUGACAUGCCUUUCAUUACAGUUUUUAAUCUCACAGCACAAUUGUUUAGUUUGUUUCUUUUAAAGUUAUACUUUGCUGACUUUUCAAAAUACCCCCCAACUUCCCACUUAAAUGUGUUUCUGCGUUGUGUGUCUUUUUGCUAAUGGAGAGGAAAGGCAAAGAAGAAAAAUAUGUUCCUUUAGCACCAAAUACAUGUGAACAAAAAUGAUCUUGACAGUUUGCAAAAACGAAAUACUCUUGACUUCUGAGAUAUUAAAGAAAAACAACCAAAUGUUCCCAGUAGUUCCUUAAUGCAAUUACUUGAUUAGAGAAAGGCAUUUCAUUUCCUAACCGCAACAGGAAUAAGCAAUAUAGCUGUCAAUAAUUUUGCAGCUGGGCUUUGGAUCUGGUGGUCAGCAUCUGACCACAUCUUUACAUGGUCAUUAAUGCAUUUCCAUCAGCACUUAGAAAUGCACCUAGCAAAGCCGUUGGAACCUUGAGGGAUUCUGCUGGUGUGCCAGUGACCUUUUCCCUCAUCAAUUUCCAGAAUGUUUUUUCCACUCCUGAAUAUGCAGCACAUCAUAAUGUUUUACAUCAGGCCUCCACUGAAGUCAUAUCGUGUUAUGUUCAUGGCUGCCUUCAUUUAAAAAUCUAGCAAUGGACAACGUCCAAUGGACGAAAAUGGAUGUGCCCGCUCAGUGGCUUCAGUCUGCAGAACCGGCAAUGUUACAGGUGCCACUUUGGGGGAGAUCCGUCCUCUAGUCUGGCAGCACCUACACUUUAGAACUCCCUGUCUAUUGACACUAGGAGAGCCAGUGUGGUGUAGUGGUUAAGAGCGGUAGACUCGUAAUCUGGGGAACCGGAUUCACGUCUCCGCUCCUCCACAUGCAGCUGCUGGGUGACCUUGGGCCAGUCACACUUCUCUGAAGUCUCUCAGCCCCACUCACCUCACAGAGUGUUUGUUGUGGGGAAGGAAGGGAAAGGAGAAUGUUAGCCACUUUGAGACUCCUUCGGGUGGUGAUAAAGCGGGAUAUCAAAUCCAAACUCUUCUUCCUCUUCUACUAGGCAGACAUCUUUGCUGUACUCUUUUCACUUAAAAGCAUUUUUUUGUUUAGGCAGGCCUAAUGAGACAUGUACAUAUUGGUGUGCUUC